rnacentral:rRNA from 1 species
GAUGAACGCUGGCGGUGUGCCUAAUACAUGCAAGUAGAACGCUGAAGGAGGAGCUUGCUCUUCUGGAUGAGUUGCGAACGGGUGAGUAACGCGUAGGUAACCUGCCUGGUAGCGGGGGAUAACUAUUGGAAACGAUAGCUAAUACCGCAUGACAACAGUUAUUGCAUGAUAACUGUUUAAAAGGGGCAACUGCUCCACUACCAGAUGGACCUGCGUUGUAUUAGCUAGUUGGUGAGGUAACGGCUCACCAAGGCGACGAUACAUAGCCGACCUGAGAGGGUGAUCGGCCACACUGGGACUGAGACACGGCCCAGACUCCUACGGGAGGCAGCAGUAGGGAAUCUUCGGCAAUGGACGGAAGUCUGACCGAGCAACGCCGCGUGAGUGAAGAAGGUUUUCGGAUCGUAAAGCUCUGUUGUAAGAGAAGAACGAGUGUGAGAGUGGAAAGUUCACACUGUGACGGUAUCUUACCAGAAAGGGACGGCUAACUACGUG